UACGUAGGGCGCAAGCGUUGUCCGGAAUUAUUGGGCGUAAAGAGCUCGUAGGCGGUCUGUCGCGUCUGCUGUGAAAACGCGGGGCUCAACCCCGCGCCUGCAGUGGGUACGGGCAGACUAGAGUGCGGUAGGGGAGACUGGAAUUCCUGGUGUAGCGGUGGAAUGCGCAGAUAUCAGGAGGAACACCGGUGGCGAAGGCGGGUCUCUGGGCCGUUACUGACGCUGAGGAGCGAAAGCAUGGGGAGCGAACAGG
rnacentral:rRNA from 1 species